AUUGAACGCUGGCGGCAUGCCUUACACAUGCAAGUCGAACGGCAGCGGACCUUCGGUGCCGGCGAGUGGCGAACGGGUGAGUAAUAUAUCGGAACGUACCUUUCAGUGGGGGAUAACGUAGCGAAAGUUACGCUAAUACCGCAUAUUCUGUGAGCAGGAAAGCAGGGGAUCGCAAGACCUUGCGCUGAUUGAGCGGCCGAUAUCAGAUUAGCUAGUUGGUGAGGUAAAGGCUCACCAAGGCGACGAUCUGUAGCGGGUCUGAGAGGAUGAUCCGCCACACUGGAACUGAGACACGGUCCAGACUCCUACGGGAGGCAGCAGUGGGGGAAUUUUGGACAAUGGGCGCAAGCCUGAUCCAGCCAUGCCGCGUGAGUGAAGAAGGCC
rnacentral:rRNA from 1 species